rnacentral:rRNA from 1 species
UACGGAGGGGGCUAGCGUUGUUCGGAAUUACUGGGCGUAAAGCGCACGUAGGCGGCUUUGUAAGUUAGAGGUGAAAGCCCAGGGCUCAACCCUGGAAUUGCCUUUGAGACUGCAUCGCUAGAAUUGUGGAGAGGUAAGUGGAAUUCCGAGUGUAGAGGUGAAAUUCGUAGAUAUUCGGAAGAACACCAGUGGCGAAGGCGACUUACUGGACACAUAUUGACGCUGAGGUGCGAAAGCGUGGGGAGCAAACAGG